rnacentral:rRNA from 1 species
AUUGAACGUUGGCGGCGUGCCUUACACAUGCAAGUCGAACGGCAGCACGGGUGCUUGCACCUGGUGGCGAGUGGCGAACGGGUGAGUAAUACAUCGGAACGUACCUUAUCGUGGGGGAUAACGCAGCGAAAGUUGCGCUAAUACCGCAUACGCCCUGAGGGGGAAAGCGGGGGACCGUAAGGCCUCGCGCGAUUAGAGCGGCCGAUGUCUGAUUAGCUUGUUGGUGAGGUAAAAGCUCACCAAGGCGAUGAUCAGUAGCUGGGCUGAGAGGACGAUCAGCCACACUGGGACUGAGACACGGCCCAGACUCAUACGGGAGGAAGAAGUGGGGAAUUUUGGACAAUGGGGGCAACCCUGAUCCAGCAAUGCCGCGUGAGUGAAGAAGGCCUUCGGGUUGUAAAGCUCUUUUGUCAGGGAAGAAACAGCAGCUCUAACACAGUCUGCGAAUGACGGUACCUGAAGAAUAAGCACCGGCUAACUACGUGCCAGCAGCCGCCGUAA